UCCUCCCUCAAACCCCCGGGUUUGGUGUUGGGCCGCGUUGGCACCGUUCGCGGUCCAACUGGUCUCAAAGACAAUGACGGCGUCCGUGGGACCCUCUUCGCACUGAGCUUUCCGGAGCACGCGUCGAGUUGCAAGGUCGCACGGGCCCGGUCACCUAUCGUACUUCGGUACCAUAUUUUUUCA
rnacentral:misc_RNA from 1 species